CGUUGAAGCACAGUUUCCCGUACGAUCACUGUAGUUAAGCAACGUCGGGCCGGGACAGUACGUAGAUGAAUGACCACUUGCGAAUACCAACUGCU